CACGUAGGGUGCGAGCGUUGUCCGGAAUUAUUGGGCGUAAAGAGCUCGUAGGCGGUGUGUCGCGUCGGCCGUGAAAACCUGCAGCUUAACUGUGGGCGUGCGGUCGGUACGGGCAUCACUGGAGUUCGGCAGGGGAGACUGGAAUUCCUGGUGUAGCGGUGAAAUGCGCAGAUAUCAGGAGGAACACCGGUGGCGAAGGCGGGUCUCUGGGCCGAUACUGACGCUGAGGAGCGAAAGCGUGGGGAGCGAACAGG
rnacentral:rRNA from 1 species